ACGAUUUGUUUGACUGUCGUGUAGAAGACAGACUUAACCAAUGUUUAGCAAUAACAUCGGAUCCUACACAAUGCCUCAAGAAACCAACCCUUGACCUGAAAACACUUCCCAAAAAUCUGAGAUAUGAAUUCCUAGACUUAGAACUUGAACGACCAUUGAUAGUAAAUGCAGACCUAGGAAAACUUGAAACCGAAAAACUCCUACAUAUCUUAAGAAA
rnacentral:lncRNA from 1 species